rnacentral:tRNA from 1 species
AGUUAAUAAGUUUUAAUAAACAUAUACUUUGAAAGUAUAAUAAGAAAGUUAAAUCUUUCAUUGACUU